GAGAAGGAGGAGAGAGAAAUAAAUAAAACACAUAUAAAUAAAUAAGUAUGAGUCAAUUAAUAUUAAGGGGUUUGGUGUCAGUAAUUCACAUAUGAAUACUUACACAACACACUUUCAUACAUGCACACAAACACUUACAAUACUCCCACUAAUAUAAACAAAA